UGUAAGUAAGAUGCAUAAUAAAAAUGGUCCCAAAAAGAUACUGUUUCAGAGAAGCACAAGGCUACUCUUUGAAGGAUUAUCUGUGUUUGUAUUCCUCUUCAGAGAUUUUCUUGCUUUCAUGUGCUCCAACAUUAGGCAUGAUGCUAAAUUUACAGAGCAAAUUAUACAGUGGUCUUGAAAAAAUUAUAGAACUAAGAAUUUGCAUUUAUAAAGAUGGGUGUAAAGCAGAGUUUCAGAUCAAAGUAAUCCUGGGAAAGGGGAUGUUCAUGCAUGCCUUAUUUCAUGAAACUGCAGCACAGCUUUCGCUUUGGAAGAAGAUACUUAGUGAAAGUCAUCAAAAGCCCUUUUAUCAAAUUUCUUUUUGACUUAAUUUAAAAUUCACCCAUUUAAAAUGCUCCCUUUUAACUAGAAAUCCUCAUAUCAAGUUUUUGGAAUUUGGGAUUUCCAUUUUUCUACAGGAAUCAUUUUCUGUAGAAUCCUUUCACAUUCCUCAAGUUUCCUUCCGUUACCUUCUAAUUGACACUGAUAUUUGGAUGAACUUCUAGGGAGUAGAAUCAAGGAAAGCUUGUGGGCUGGCUCUCAAAGAAUCAAAGCAGAGAAUCAGAACAUGGCUUGGAGAAAGGUUCAUGGAUUAUGUUUUCACUAGUUAUUGCAGUUCUGUUUUGGAUUUUGUUUUAUUUAUGAAAGAGAAUGUGGAAAUAAUCUAGAUUCAUUGCUUUCAGUCAAGAAGUAUGGACAAGUUUAUCUCCUGCUUGUUUACUUUCAGGGCAGCCUGCACUUAUGAGGAAUGUAAUCCUCGUACAAAAUGGCUAGUAUCAUAUCUACUGUUGUUACAAAUCAUGCCAGAACCUUUUUAAGAAAUCUCUCCACAGCAUGCAAAUGGCAUACUCUAAUAAGGUUUCAACUAUUUCAACUAUUCAUUUACAUAAAAAUCUCUGAUAACAUUGCAUAUGCAUAUUUUCUGUAAAUACAUCUGAAUAAAACUUUUGCUGACUCAAAUGAGGUAUAAUUCAAUAAUGUAAAUGUGACAGAAAGGGUGUUGAUUCAGGUCCUAUUCUUAAAGUAAGUUGAAUACCAAGUGCCCCAGCUUCUACUUAGCAUGCAAAUCACAAGACUGAUCUUGAACAACUGCUGCUCAAGGUAGAGGACGUUUGUCCUUUUGCUGCCAAGAUGUGAUAGAGAUGGCAGUGCCUUGGAUGACAGAAGGAAAACUGUUGGAGCCAUCUGCUAAUAAUACAGUAAUGGGCAGAAAUCACUCCAAAAUCCUGUUUGUGCUCUGCACUUUACACAAGAACAUGUGUGUGUGCUCACAAGCAGAAUAGAACAAUGUGUGACUCUAGAAGGACUUCCACUCAGAAGAGGAAGAAUUACAGAGAGAGCUGGGCAAUGGCCAGGGGGAGGAGAUUCCUGCUUCAAAACCUGGAGUGCACCCCUGAGCAGGGAGAAGAGCAACAAGGUGCCCUCACUUCAAGAAGUCAAAGGCAGUGUGAGAAACUAAACUUGUAUGUCUUGAGUCUUAUUUCUAUGGCUUCGAAACACCCUCAAAAAUAUUUUGUUGUUUCAAUGGACCAAACAGUGUCAUAGCACAAUGUCAUUGCUGUGAUUUAAAGCCCACUAGAGUAAUAAAUCCAGCUGAAUAUAAAAUGAAAAAUCAGUGUCUUGCACAUAAGUCACACUCAACAACUCUGUUACAAGGUGAAAUUAGAUAUCUAGAGAAUAGUAAUCAUGCAAAUAUUUUUUUUUUAAGAAAAGGGCAUGUGUUACAUAGAGUAUCUUGCAUCCUGCUCAUCCUUCUGAGUAGAAUAAAGAGCACAUACAGAAUGCAGAGAUUCAUAGUUAAGGAUGCUGAAAACCAAGAAACAUCUUGUUGCAUGGCAGAUUAUUUAUCUUGACCUCUUCUGCUUUGGAGAAAAAGCCAAAAGAUAUUUGCCUGUGGGAGUUAGGGUGUGCCCCGGCAUGCUCCUCAGAGUCCCUGUGCCAGGGAAACGAGCUCUUUGUGCCCGAUGCUGUGCUGUACUACUGAGCUGCCUGUGACACUGCCACUACUGAGUGACUCUAGACUCUAUUACCCUAAGGUAAUACAGACUUGGUCUCAGAGUCUGCUUCUCUUCACCUCCUCACCUGGGCAGGCACAGUCUGACAGGUCCCAGGCCAUCAGCAUCACCCAGACUUUAUCAUCAUCACAAGGCUACAGCCCCAGCUGUUUCUUGAGACCUGGCCCCAUAAUGUGGCCCAUUUUUUUUCCAGUAGAUGCCUUAGUCUCUCCCAUUUCAAGACCCCAUACUGUAAAUAAGUUUCUUUAAAAGUAAGUUUGUCCCCAUCCUGGAGGACUGAAGACUGCCCUGACUUCUCUGUUACUGCUGUUACAGCCGCACUAGCUGUGUGGAGCCCAGUGCUCCUGCCUUGCCUGGUUGCUGGGAGCAGAGCAGAGUGUGUUUGGGGCAGAAGAGUUCUUGGCAUCACCAUGGUGAAUUCAUAAUGACAAAUCAAGACAACUGUUAAUCUGCUGAAGCCCUAUCGGCAGAAGCAAUGUGACUGCAGACUCCUCAUUUUCAGUGAGCUCUCCUUACUCGCAGGCAGCAUGGUCUGAGCCUCAGGUCUGCCGUUUAGAGCCAAGCCCAUAAUCAGAGCUGCUGACUGUUGUGACAUUUGUAUGGAAGUCAUUGCUUAAUGCCUGCAGCAGGAAGGACAGGAGACCUGAGAUAUUUAUGUCACUACAAGACAUUAAGUAGCCACCAGACUGUCAGAUAAUUGGCAGAACAUGAACACAAUGCAGAGAAAUGAGUUGCUAUUGCUCUUAGCGGAGCUCUUCUCUAUUGCAGUGGGAAUAUGUUUUGUUAUUUCAUGAACAUUUAUUCUGCUUUUCUUGGAGGGAAAAUUAAACAUCUGUUUUCUGCUGUGAAAUGUAACUGCAAGGAAAUAAUCUGAAUAGCUGGACUGUAAGUAAGUGAAAUUUUGAGGCCAGUAUCCAACACUAGCCAGAAAUUAUCUUCUCUGAUGCACUGUGGAUUUUCAGUGCAGCUCCGCAUUGCAUAUUCAUCACCACUUGGCUGCACCAAUCUCCAAUUAAUGGGAGCUCCACACAGCAGAUGAGUGAAGAUGACAUUUACAUGACGUGAUGUGCAUAUAAUGUACCACAUGGCAAGUCAGAGGACGUUUGUGAUCUGGGCAAGCCAGGUUUCUCCUUUGCUAUUAAAAUGACACAGCUUCUGAUAAUUUUUAUUUUCCGUUCUUUGGAACAUAAUCAGAAGUGCUAAUCCCAAGUGCUAAAAAAAAUUAUGAAUCAGUUUCUCUGUUCUGCCAAAGCCAAAAUAAAAAUUACUUAAGCAUGAAGUUUUAAGAAUAACACAAGGUGGAUUCUCCUGUUUUGGGCCCUCUCAGUACAGUCAUAAGCAAAAGAAAAUUACACUCAAACAGAAGAUGAGAUUCUGGAGAGUCACAGAUCUCCAGAAGUUAAAGCUAAAAGGCAAAUAUUCCAACAAUUGUGUUAGAGACAAAAAUGGAUAAAAACAUCAAAUGUCUUUAUUAAUUCAGUCCUAAUCCAUUCUGCCAAUAUAUUGUGUCAUACUGUCUUAUUUAAUUAUUAUUUUAUUUUAUUUUUUAAAUGCUAAAAACAUAGGAACCAGAGGAAAGGAAAUAUUCAGUGUUUCCUAAAAGUUCUCUGGCUCCUUAGAAAGAAGUGGCCAAAAUUUGAACACUUCUUCUUACUGAAAGAUUGGUUUGGGCAUUUCCUGGCUCUCCAGCAUAGCUACUGGGGAAAAAAAACAGAACGGAAUGAGAAAUUGAUUUUAUUUAGGAGACACUGUCACAAAGCAAAACAGCCCCACAAGUGUGAAGAUGUUGGAAAGAGACUUUCCUAAAUAUAAAGAUGAAGUGCAUUAUAAACUGUUUAUGUGCAAGCUGAAAUGAAAGAUGAUGUUCUCUAAUAGUGUGAUUAAUAAGCCUAUGGUAGCUGGGGAGAUAGUAUAAGUCACUCAACAAAACCAGUUCCAAACAUGUUUUCUGAAUAUAAUUAGUUUUUCUCUAUACCUCUGUUUUCCACUGACUUGGACAUAAAUCUUAAAUCGUAAAUCAUAAGUCUUAAAUCACUUCAAAGCUGCUUUAUAUUUCUACUGAGAGAUUUUGCCAAAGAAGGUCUGGUAGAUCAGUGCGGAUUGAUACUGAGGUAUAGCUCAGUACACACCAGGUUUUGUACAAAUGGCAGGCAUGAAUUUUACUGACAUUGACGGUUUUGAGCUACUGUAACUGAGUGCAUGGAGAUCUGCUUCUAGUUCUCCUACCUGUUAAACUGCUGUCUACCUACUCAUGCACUGCUUCUGUUUAGACAUGGCCAUUCCCUCUCACAGACAUAUUCUUAUCAACAUACUGAGCUGGUAGAAAUGGUAGAUAUCUGUUAAUAGAAGUUAUAUCAGGUGAGAUUCUUGUUGCUGAGAAUUCAUGUGUGUAAUUCUGCAGAUAACUUUAUCCCCAUAAAGGAGGAUUUUUAAUAGAUCAAAGCAGAAGCUUUUUGUAUAACACCACUGUCACUGACAUAUACUGAAAAUUAAAAAGGAAGAUCACAACAGGAAGAUCAGGAAGAAUACAACAAUGUAUUUCUUGAAUGUAAGAUUUUUGAAGAAUAGUCAUAUUAUAAAUUUCACAUUUAAAUGGCACGAUGCACCAAGGAAUAGGCAGAUGUGAUAUAUGGAUCCAGGCCUUUUGACACUCCUGAAAAUUCCCAUUUUGAACUGGUACUCAAAAUCCAGACAGCUUUCACAGCGUCAGCAUCCUUCCUGUCUUGAAGACUGAUGUCUUGAAGCAAGUGUCCUGAUUGACAGACAUCACAGAUCACUUGAAAAUGCCUGAGUGCUCAAAUAAUGUGAAAACAGUUGCCAGAUUUCUAUGAGUCCUGUAUGUCAAAUCUGGUGUUCAUAUUUCUCUGGCCAUACACUUGUAUUCACAUUUGCAGUCUUGGGGAUCUGAUAAGAUACCUUCUAGAAGACCUGAUAAAGCUUAAAAAACACCCUUCCCCAGUUGUCUUCUCCACAUUUGGCCCCUCCAUGCCAUCAUGCUGGAGCUGGGCUGAGAGCUGGUGUGGCAGCCAAGACUGGUGCUGCGUGACUGACCCUUUUGGGAGGGAAAGUGUGACAAGCCACAGCAAAUUUGGCAGAACUGGUCUGUUGGCACUACUAGUUUUCCCUUUGCUGAUCUACCUGGUAACAUGACAAGGAUUUACAGGUAACGUUGGUGAACUUGGAAUCACAGGAUCACCGGCUGAGGUUGGAAGGGACCUCAGGAGAUUACCUGAUCCCAUUUCCCUGUUCAAGCACGGCCACCCAGAGCAGGUUGUCCAGGUGGCUUUUGAAGAUCUCCAAGGAGGAGACUGCAUAGCCUCUACUGGGCAAACUGUACCAGUUCUUGGCCACUCGCACAGACAGAACUGCCUGUGUUCUGGUUCGUGCCCAUGAAUGCCCUGGCACUGGGCACCACUGAAGAGCCUGGAUCCAUCCUCUUUGCACCUUCCAUUGAGGUAUUUAUAGAUACUGAUGCGAUCCCUCCUGAACCUCCUCCAGGCUGAACAGCUCAAAAAACAACUACAAAGCAUUCAAUACUCAGAAGCGCUUGGACACUUCCAAAGGAAGAAAAAAAGGGCCUUGAUGUAAACUGGAAUAAAGACUAGAGAAUACAUUAUUUGUGUAGAUUCAAACGUCCCUUACAAUUUGGUAUUGAAGCAAGGUGAGAAGGCAUUGGCACCUUCUUCCCACUCUACUGGGUACCUUGAUGAGGCCAGCACUCACCUUGAGGGUUUUGUUGUGCCUCU